rnacentral:rRNA from 1 species
AUUCCAGCUCCAAUAGCGUAUACUAAAGUUGUUGCGAUUAAAAAGCUCGUAGUUGGAUCUCAGGCAUGGGCGCACGGUCCGCCUCGCGGCGGUCACUGUGUGAAUUGUUUUCCCAUCCUACGCUUCCCGGUUGUUCAGCCCAUGGUGCUCUUCAUUGAGCGUUUUGGGUGGCCGGAACGUUUACUUUGAAGAAAUUAGAGUGUUCAAAGCAGGCACAUCGCCUGAAUAAUGGUGCAUGGAAUGAUGGAAUAGGACCUCGGUUCUAUUUUGCUGGUUUUCGGAACACGAGGUAAUGAUUAAGAGGGACAGACGGGGGCAUCCGUAUUGCGGUGUUAGAGGUGAAAUUCUUGGAUCAUCGCAAGACGAACAACUGCGAAAGCAUUUGCCAAGCAUGUUUUCAUUG